rnacentral:rRNA from 1 species
ACUCCUACGGGAGGCAGCAGUGGGGAAUAUUGCGCAAUGGAGGGAACUCUGACGCAGCAACGCCGCGUGAAGGAUGAAGGUUUUCGGAUUGUAAACUUCUUUGAUCGGGGACGAAAAUGACGGUACCCGAGGAACAAGCCACGGCUAACUACGUGCCAGCAGCCGCGGUAAUACGUAGGUGGCAAGCGUUGUCCGGAAUUACUGGGUGUAAAGGGCGUGUAGGCGGGAAGGCAAGUCAGAUGUGAAAUCCCAGGGCUUAACUCUGGAGCUGCAUCUGAAACUGUUUUUCUUGAGUACUGGAGAGGAAAGUGGAAUUCCUAGUGUAGCGGUGAAAUGCGUAGAGAUUAGGAGGAACACCAGUGGCGAAGGCGGCUUUCUGGACAGUAACUGACGCUGAGGCGCGAAAGCGUGGGGAGCAAACAGGAUUAGAUACCCUGGUAGUC